rnacentral:rRNA from 1 species
UUUGACCUCAAAUCAGGUAGGACUACCCGCUGAAYUUAAGCAUAUCAAUAAGCGGAGGAAAAGAAACUAACAAGGAUUCCCCUAGUAACUGCGAGUGAAGCGGGAAAAGCUCAAAUUUAAAAUCUGACAGUCUUGGCUGUCCGAGUUGUAGUCUGGAGAAGCGUCUUCCGCGCUGGACCGUGUACAAGUUCCUUGGAAUAGUACAUCAUAGAGGGUGAGAAUCCCGUCUUUGACACGGACUACCAGUGCUUUGCGAUGCGCUCUCAAAGAGUCGAGUUGUUUGGGAAUGCAGCUCAAAAUGGGUGGUAAAUUCCAUCUAAAGCUAAAUAUUGGCGAGAGACCGAUAGCGAACAAGUACCGUGAGGGAAAGAUGAAAAGCACUUUGGAAAGAGAGUUAAACAGUACGUGAAAUUGCUGAAAGGGAAACGCUUGAAGUCAGUCGCGUUGUUCAGAACUCAGCCUGGCUUCUGCCUGGUGUAUUUUUUGUUCGACGGGCCAGCAUCAAUUUUGAUCAUUGGAAAAAGGCCAGCGGAAUGUGGCACCUUCGGGUGUGUUAUAGCCCUGGUUGCAUACAAUGGUUGGGAUUGAGGAUCUCAGCAUGCCUUUGGUCGGGGUUCGCCCACGUUCAUGCUUAGGAUGCUGGCGUAAUGGCUUUAAACGACCCGUCUUGAAACACGGACCAAGGAGUCUAACAUGCCUGCGAGUGUUUGGGUGGAAAACCCGAGCGCGCAAUGAAAGUGAAAGUUGGGAUCCCUGUCGUGGGGAGCACUGACGCCCGGACUUGACCUUCUGUGACGGAUCCGCGGUAGAGCAUGUAUGUUGGGACCCGAAAGAUGGUGAACUAUGCCUGAAUAGGGUGAAGCCAGAGGAAACUCUGGUGGAGGCUCGUAGCGAUUCUGACGUGCAAAUCGAUCGUCAAAUUUGGGUAUAGGGGCGAAAGACUAAUCGAACCAUCUAGUAGCUGGUUCCUGCCGAAGUUUCCCUCAGGAUAGCAGAAACUCAUGUCAGAUUUAUGUGGUAAAGCGAAUGAUUAGAGGCCUUGGGGUUGAAACAACCUUAACCUAUUCUCAAACUUUAAAUAUGUAAGAACGAGCCGUCACUUGAUUGGACCGCUCGGCGAUUGAGAGUUUCUAGUGGGCCAUUUUUGGUAAGCAGAACUGGCGAUGCGGGAUGAACCGAACGCGAGGUUAAGGUGCCGGAAUGCACGCUCAUCAGACACACAAAAGGUGUUAGUCAUCUAGACAGCAGGACGGUGGCCAUGGAAGUCGGAAUCCGCUAAGGAGUGUGUACAACUCACUGGCCGAUGAACAGCCCUGAAAAUGGAUGGCGCUAACCGUGCAACCAAUACUUCGCGGUA